AUGGACGGCCUCCCCGACGCGGCGCCGCCCGCGCCGGCGCCGCAGCAGCAGCCGAAGCGCGACGAGUGGAGCGAGAGCGGCAUCUCGCGCCUGCUCGAGGCCUACGAGGCCAAGUGGCUGCUCCGCAACCGGGCCAAGCUCAAGUGGAGCGACUGGGUCGACAUCGCCCACGACGUCUCCGCCCACUGCUCCUCCUCCGACCACGCCUCCAAGCCCGGCGCCGCUGCCGGGGGCACCGCCAAGACCCCCAACCAGUGCAAGAACAAGGUCGAGUCCAUGAAGAAGCGCUACCGGGCCGAGUCGGCCGCCGCCACGCGCGCCGGAGUAGCCGGGGCAGCCAGCGCCUCCGGUGGCCCGUCGUGGCGCUUCUUCGGCCGCAUGGACGGGCUGCUCAAGGGGCCGGCCGCCGGCUGCUCUGGCCAGCCGCAGGCGCAACCGGAGCCGAGUAACGAUGGCAUCGUCCAGCCGCGAGCACCGCUGAAAGCAGAGCCGGAGGCCGACGCCGAAGCAGACACCGCCCUCCAGCAGCCGCCGGACACCGCAGGGCCGCCCGGGGCGCUCUCCGAGCUACUCAACGCAGACGCCAACGGCUCCGCGACCGUGAAGGCCGAGAAGACCGUCGAUCAGGCCACGCACAAGGAGACCAGCAGGGCGGCGGACAGCGACGCCGCAAAUGUGAGCUCUCCGCGGAGCAAGGAGGUGGAGGCGGAGGCGAACGACGACGGCGCCGAGGAGGCCUGGGACGCGCCGGGGAGGAAGCGGAAGGGCCCUGAGCUGGACGUCGCGAGGAGCAUCGAGCUGCUGGCGAGCUCGUUCGUGAAGAUCGAGCGGGCCAGGCUGGAGGUGUACCGGGACACGGAGCGGAUGAGGGCCGAGGCCGAGGUGAAGAGGGGCGAGAUGGAGCUGAGGAGGACGGAGAUCAUGGCCAAGACGCAGCUGCAGAUCGCCAGGCUCUUCGCCAAGCGGCUCAAGGAGUGCGUCGGCGGUAACGGCGGCAGCUCGUCUCAAGUGGACACGCUUGCCAAGAAAGGCGAAAAUGGUUCAGGGUGA
rnacentral:rRNA from 1 species